GGGUUGUGAGGUUAAGCGACUAAGCGUACACGGUGGAUGCCCUGGCAGUCAGAGGCGAUGAAGGGCGUGCUAAUCUGCGAUAAGCGCCGGUAAGGUGAUAUGAACCGUUAUAACCGGCGAUACCCGAAUGGGGAAACCCAGUGUGAUUCGUCACACUAUCAUUAACUGAAUCCAUAGGUUAAUGAGGCGAACCGGGGGAACUGAAACAUCUAAGUACCCCGAGGAAAAGAAAUCAACCGAGAUUCCCCCAGUAGCGGCGAGCGAACGGGGAGGAGCCCAGAGCCUGAAUCAGCAUGUGUGUUAGUGGAAGCGUCUGGAAAGGCGCGCGAUACAGGGUGACAGCCCCGUACACAAAAGCGCAUGUGCUGUGAGCUCGAUGAGUAGGGCGGGACACGUGGUAUCCUGUCUGAAUAUGGGGGGACCAUCCUCCAAGGCUAAAUACUCCUGACUGACCGAUAGUGAACCAGUACCGUGAGGGAAAGGCGAAAAGAACCCCGGCGAGGGGAGUGAAAAAGAACCUGAAACCGUGUACGUACAAGCAGUGGGAGCACCCUUUGGGUGUGACUGCGUACCUUUUGUAUAAUGGGUCAGCGACUUAUAUUCUGUAGCAAGGUUAACCGAAUAGGGGAGCCGGAGGGAAACCGAGUCUUAACCGGGCGUUAAGUUGCAGGGUAUAGACCCGAAACCCGGUGAUCUAGCCAUGGGCAGGUUGAAGGUUGGGUAACACUAACUGGAGGACCGAACCGACUAAUGUUGAAAAAUUAGCGGAUGACCUGUGGCUGGGGGUGAAAGGCCAAUCAAACCGGGAGAUAGCUGGUUCUCCCCGAAAGCUAUUUAGGUAGCGCCUCGUGAAUUCAUCUCCGGGGGUAGAGCACUGUUUCGGCUAGGGGGCCAUCCCGGCUUACCAACCCGAUGCAAACUGCGAAUACCGGAGAAUGUUAUCACGGGAGACACACGGCGGGUGCUAACGUCCGUCGUGAAGAGGGAAACAACCCAGACCGCCAGCUAAGGUCCCAAAGUCAUGGUUAAGUGGGAAACGAUGUGGGAAGGCCCAGACAGCCAGGAUGUUGGCUUAGAAGCAGCCAUCAUUUAAAGAAAGCGUAAUAGCUCACUGGUCGAGUCGGCCUGCGCGGAAGAUGUAACGGGGCUAAACCAUGCACCGAAGCUGCGGCAGCGACACUGUGUGUUGUUGGGUAGGGGAGCGUUCUGUAAGCCUGUGAAGGUGUGUCGUGAGGCAUGCUGGAGGUAUCAGAAGUGCGAAUGCUGACAUAAGUAACGAUAAAGCGGGUGAAAAGCCCGCUCGCCGGAAGACCAAGGGUUCCUGUCCAACGUUAAUCGGGGCAGGGUGAGUCGACCCCUAAGGCGAGGCCGAAAGGCGUAGUCGAUGGGAAACGGGUUAAUAUUCCCGUACUUGGUGUUACUGCGAAGGGGGGACGGAGAAGGCUAUGUUGGCCGGGCGACGGUUGUCCCGGUUUAAGCGUGUAGGUGUGUGUUCCAGGUAAAUCCGGUUCACUUUAACACUGAGGCGUGACGACGAGGCACUACGGUGCUGAAGCAACAAAUGCCCUGCUUCCAGGAAAAGCCUCUAAGCAUCAGGUAACAUCAAAUCGUACCCCAAACCGACACAGGUGGUCAGGUAGAGAAUACCAAGGCGCUUGAGAGAACUCGGGUGAAGGAACUAGGCAAAAUGGUGCCGUAACUUCGGGAGAAGGCACGCUGACACGUAGGUGAAGUGAUUUACUCAUGGAGCUGAAGUCAGUCGAAGAUACCAGCUGGCUGCAACUGUUUAUUAAAAACACAGCACUGUGCAAACACGAAAGUGGACGUAUACGGUGUGACGCCUGCCCGGUGCCGGAAGGUUAAUUGAUGGGGUCAGCGCAAGCGAAGCUCCUGAUCGAAGCCCCGGUAAACGGCGGCCGUAACUAUAACGGUCCUAAGGUAGCGAAAUUCCUUGUCGGGUAAGUUCCGACCUGCACGAAUGGCGUAAUGAUGGCCAGGCUGUCUCCACCCGAGACUCAGUGAAAUUGAACUCGCUGUGAAGAUGCAGUGUACCCGCGGCAAGACGGAAAGACCCCGUGAACCUUUACUAUAGCUUGACACUGAACAUUGAGCCUUGAUGUGUAGGAUAGGUGGGAGGCUUUGAAGUGUGGACGCCAGUCUGCAUGGAGCCGACCUUGAAAUACCACCCUUUAAUGUUUGAUGUUCUAACGUGGACCCGUUACCCGGGUUGCGGACAGUGUCUGGUGGGUAGUUUGACUGGGGCGGUCUCCUCCUAAAGAGUAACGGAGGAGCACGAAGGUUGGCUAAUCCUGGUCGGACAUCAGGAGGUUAGUGCAAUGGCAUAAGCCAGCUUGACUGCGAGCGUGACGGCGCGAGCAGGUGCGAAAGCAGGUCAUAGUGAUCCGGUGGUUCUGAAUGGAAGGGCCAUCGCUCAACGGAUAAAAGGUACUCCGGGGAUAACAGGCUGAUACCGCCCAAGAGUUCAUAUCGACGGCGGUGUUUGGCACCUCGAUGUCGGCUCAUCACAUCCUGGGGCUGAAGUAGGUCCCAAGGGUAUGGCUGUUCGCCAUUUAAAGUGGUACGCGAGCUGGGUUUAGAACGUCGUGAGACAGUUCGGUCCCUAUCUGCCGUGGGCGCUGGAGAACUGAGGGGGGCUGCUCCUAGUACGAGAGGACCGGAGUGGACGCAUCACUGGUGUUCGGGUUGUCAUGCCAAUGGCACUGCCCGGUAGCUAAAUGCGGAAGAGAUAAGUGCUGAAAGCAUCUAAGCACGAAACUUGCCCCGAGAUGAGUUCUCCCUGAGACUUAGAGUCUCCUGAAGGAACGUUGAAGACGACGACGUUGAUAGGCCGGGUGUGUAAGCGCAGCGAUGCGUUGAGCUAACCGGUACUAAUGAACCGUGAGGCUUAACCUUACAACGCCGAAG
rnacentral:rRNA from 11 species